rnacentral:rRNA from 2 species
UUAAAUUGAAGAGUUUGAUCAUGGCUCAGAUUGAACGCUGGCGGCAGGCCUAACACAUGCAAGUCGAACGGUAACAGGAAGCAGCUUGCUACUU